rnacentral:lncRNA from 13 species
AUUUACAAGUGAAGGAGGAGAGCUUAUCAAUUUUCAGGGAAUCUCGGUGCAAUAUUAUACUAAUUUGAGAUCUUUCUAACAUCAUGACGAAGGUUGUCAGAACCAUAACUUUUCAUAUUGACACUGCUUCAGCAGCAAACCAAAGAUGUUGCAUCAUUUAAAGAAAAGCAGCAAUACAUAUGGAUACAGUGCAAAGAGGAAAAUAGAUGAAAUAGGAACCAAGAUCACAAAUUAAAACAUUAUCUGUUUGGUAAAUGAACAAUAGCUUCAAGGAGCCAUGCACAUAAAAGGUCAGUGACCUUGCCUCACUUAGCAAAUGGGAAAUAUUUCCUUU